rnacentral:rRNA from 1 species
CCUACGUGUGGCAGCAGUGAGGAAUAUUGGUCAAUGGGCGCGAGCCUGAACCAGCCAAGUAGCGUGAAGGAUGACUGCCCUACGGGUUGUAAACUUCUUUUAUAAAGGAAUAAAGUGAGGCACGUGUGCCUUUUUGUAGGUACUUUAUGAAUAAGGAUCGGCUAACUCCGUGCCAGCAGCCGCGGUAAUACGGAGGAUCCGAGCGUUAUCCGGAUUUAUUGGGUUUAAAGGGAGCGUAGAUGGGUUGUUAAGUCAGUUGUGAAAGUUUGCGGCUCAACCGUUAAAUUGCAAUUGAUACUGGCAGUCUUGAGUACAGUUGAGGGAGGCGGAAUUCGUGGUGUAGCGGUGAAAUGCUUAGAUAUCACGAAGAACUCCGAUUGCGAAGGCAGCUUACUAAACUGCCACUGACAUUGAUGCUCGAAAGUGUGGGUAUCAAACAGGAUUAGAUACCCCUGUAGUC